rnacentral:lncRNA from 1 species
CCCGGCUCUGCUUGGAAGACUGCGCCUCUGAACGUAAAGCGGGGCGCGGGCCGCGGGUGCGCAGAGCUGCGCGUGCGCGCGCCGCCCCCCGCCCCCGCACCGCCUGCUGGGCUCGGCGCCUCGCCCGCCCUCGGCGCCAGUCGCUGACAGCCGCGGAGCUGCGAGCUUCUUCUCUCCCGCUGAGGCAGGACUCCUGAAUAUAUCUGAAUACUGAACAAUAUCAGCCAAGCCAAAUCCUUCUGUCUUCCCUGGGGCACGAACCCAACUUAGCUGAGCCACAGCAGAUUACUGAUCAGCGACCUGUGCCCACGGCCAUCAUGCCCUGUUGCCUGUGUCUCCAGUCCAUGGUCCUUCCUCAGCUCCAGACUCACCAACCUGACUGCCACUGGCAUCUCCUGUCUCACAUGUAGCUUGAUAAUGGCAUUGCCAAAGCCACACCCCUCAUUUAUUUCCCUCCAGACUUGCUCCGCCUCCUGUGUUCUGUCUACACAAUUGCCAUUUCCAGAAACCUUGGUGCCACCUUGAUUUUUCCAGUCUCUCACCUUCCACAUCAAAUACCAAGCCUUCCAGAAGGUGAUAAUCCCCUCGUUCAGUUCCUGAGAUGUUUGAGCAGAAUUGUGAGUGGCAUGGAGGCCAAGAGCUGAGCCCCAUGAGCAAAUGGAGAAUCAGGGAAGCAGGCCUGCAGGAGACUAGGUGCCAGCAGAUUUGGGAGCAAGAAUGAGGUCAGUCGGCAUGUCCCAGGGCCCUGCCCCUCUGACCCUUACCCAAAAGAGCCUCCAAAAAAUCCUAACUGGCAUAUUCUGAGCAGUUUAACUGGGAUUGUAACUUUCACAUCUUUUUAUUUACACCAACACAUUUCAGUAAUGAUGACAGAAACAUAGUGGGAUGCCAAUUCGUUUACUUGUUUAAUCAUUCCUCCCCUGAAUAUUAUCCAGUUUAGUCUUUAGUUCUGAAGGUUAUGAAAAAUAAUUUUAUAAAUAUUUGAUGCCACUUUUACUUGAAGCUGUCCUGGUGCUGGGGAUAAGACUAAUAGCAGCGUUACAGCAUAUGCCAUUUUUGGUUUUGGAGCACAUGGCAUUUUGGAGCAGCAGUUUGACAUAGGGUGCGGGAGAAACUGUUUAAUGAUUAUUCUAUAUGUCUUUAAUCUCUGCCCUUGGAACCGAGCACUGAGGGUAAAUGAGAUCUUCAGUCUGAAGUUGAAUUGAUGAAUGUACAUUCUGCAAAGGUUCAUAAGUUACCAUGCAGGAUACUUCUAUUCCUAAACUGUGCCAGCCCUUUCAUAUGAGAUACGUGUCUUUUGUACCAAAAAUUCACAGAAAAUAAGUCACUCAUAAACCAUUAAACGCUGAACUGCAACUCAGUGAGUGACUGCAAAUCUUGUGAACUCAGCCUUUCUUUCCUCAUUUUGAGCAGCCCCA